rnacentral:hammerhead_ribozyme from 1 species
AUCAAGCUGACGAGUCUCAAAUAGGAUGAAAUGCGCGUCAUGUAU